rnacentral:rRNA from 1 species
UACGUAGGGGGCUAGCGUUGUCCGGAAUCAUUGGGCGUAAAGAGCGUGUAGGCGGCUUGGUAAGUCCGCUGUGAAAGUCCAGGGCUCAACCCUGGAAUGCCAGUGGAUACUGUCAAGCUAGAGUCCGGAAGAGGCGAGUGGAAUUCCUGGUGUAGCGGUGAAAUGCGCAGAUAUCAGGAGGAACACCAAUGGCGAAGGCAGCUCGCUGGGACGGUACUGACGCUGAGACGCGAAAGCGUGGGGAGCAAACAGG